rnacentral:rRNA from 1 species
GACGAACGCUGGCGGCGUGCCUAAUACAUGCAAGUAGAACGCUGAAGGAGGAGCUUGCUCUUCUGGAUGAGUUGCGAACGGGUGAGUAACGCGUAGGUAACCUGCCUGGUAGCGGGGGAUAACUAUUGGAAACGAUAGCUAAUACCGCAUAACAGUAGAUGUUGCAUGACAUUUACUUAAAAGGUGCAAUUGCAUCACUACCAGAUGGACCUGCGUUGUAUUAGCUAGUUGGUGGGGUAACGGCUCACCAAGGCGACGAUACAUAGCCGACCUGAGAGGGUGAUCGGCCACACUGGGACUGAGACACGGCCCAGACUCCUACGGGAGGCAGCAGUAGGGAAUCUUCGGCAAUGGACGGAAGUCUGACCGAGCAACGCCGCGUGAGUGAAGAAGGUUUUCGGAUCGUAAAGCUCGGUUGUAAGAGAAGAACGAGUGUGAGAGUGGAAAGUUCACACUGUGACGGUAUCUGACCAGAAAGGGACGGCUAACUACGUG